AGAAGGUCCGGCUAACUUCGUGCCAGCAGCCGCGGUAAUACGAAGGGACCUAGCGUAGUUCGGAAUUACUGGGCUUAAAGAGUUCGUAGGUGGUUGAAAAAGUUGGUGGUGAAAUCCCAGAGCUUAACUCUGGAACUGCCAUCAAAACUUUUCAGCUAGAGUAUGAUAGAGGAAAGCAGAAUUUCUAGUGUAGAGGUGAAAUUCGUAGAUAUUAGAAAGAAUACCAAUUGCGAAGGCAGCUUUCUGGAUCAUUACUGACACUGAGGAACGAAAGCAUGGGUAGCGAAGAGGAUUAGAUACCCUCGUAGUCCAUGCCGUAAACGAUGUGUGUUAGACGUUGGAAAUUUAUUUUCAGUGUCGCAGCGAAAGCGAUAAACACACCGCCUGGGGAGUACGACCGCAAGGUUAAAACUCAAAUGAAUUGACGGGGACCCGCACAAGUAGUGGAGCAUGUGGUUUAAUUCGAAGAUACGCGCAGAACCUUACCAACACUUGACAUGUUCGUCGCGACUUUAAGAGAUUAAAGUUUUCGGUUCGGCCGGACGAAACACAGGUGCUGCAUGGCUGUCGUCAGCUCGUGUCGUGAGAUGUUGGGUUAAGUCCCGCAACGAGCGCAACCCUCACUUUUAGUUGCCAUCAUUAAGUUGGGCACUCUGAAAGAACUGCCAGUGAUAAGCUGGAGGAAGGUGGGGAUGACGUCAAGUCCUCAUGGCCCUUACGUGUUGGGCUACACACGUGCUACAAUGGUAUCUACAACAGGAAGCAAGACUGCGAAGUUAAGCAAAUCCUUAAAAGAUACCUCAGUUCGGAUUGCACUCUGCAACUCGAGUGCAUGAAGCUGGAAUUACUAGUAAUCGUGGAUCAGCGUGCCACGGUGAAUGCGUUCCCGGGUCUUGUACACACCGCCCGUCACACCAUGGGAGUUGGUUCUACCUUAAGGCAA
rnacentral:rRNA from 1 species